UCUGGGCUCCAUGACCAGCCAAGCGAAGUGAGCGGGGCAGGCCGACCUGAGUCGCGACGUGCACUGUUUUGAGGUGAUUCGUAAACUUAGGUAGGCCAACUCGAGACGAGACGCAAGGUGUACCGAAGUGAGGUAAUUUGCGACUCGUAAUUCAACGGAGGCAAGCGUAACGCCCAUCCGGAGGAGGACUUCGCUGGGACGAAAUAGAAUAUUAAAUUAUUAUUUUGCCUUAUAUUGUACAUAAUUUAGAAUUAAUAGAUUUGCUUUGUUUUCAA